rnacentral:tRNA from 1 species
GCCUUCGUGGUGUAGUGGUCAACACGCUGGGCGCGAAUUCCGAGGUUCGUGGUUCGAGUCCCGGCGAACGCG